CAUGCUGACUUGGGACUCUGGGUAUGGAAAACCAUUUUGCAGUAAUUAGGAAUGUGCAGCUGAAAAUGGUCAAAGAUCAAAGGCCAAGACUGAUGUCAGCUUGAAAGAAACCACUCUGUGUAUUGGGUUUGCAAGAUAAAAGAAUUAAUUAAUGCACCAGUUUCAUCAAGUCCAAAGAUCGAAAAGCACCAUUUAGGUCAAGGUCAACUCCAAAUAUUGGUUAAAACCUAAUUUGUACCAACAACUGAAUCCAGAAGAGGGCAGUCUUGAUAGGACACCCAUAAAAGAGCUAAACAGAGCUUGGCAAUAAAUGACAACUCUACCAGUUUCAGAAUCACCGCUCAUCUAUUGAGAGUAUUUUUGUUUGACCUACAC